rnacentral:rRNA from 1 species
CCUACGGGUGGCAGCAGUUAGGAAUAUUGGGCAAUGGAGGAAACUCUGACCCAGCAACGCCGCGUGAAGGACGAAGGUUUUCGGAUUUUAAACUUCUGAUCUGUGGGACGAAGAAAGUGACGGUACCACAGGAGCAAGCCACUGCUAACUACGUGCCAGCAGCCGCGUUACGACGUAGGUGGCGAGCGUUGUCAGGAAUAACUGGGCGUCAAGGGAGAGUAGGUGGUUGAUUAAGUUAAAGGUGAACGCCCAGGGCUCAACUCUGGAAUUGCAUUUAAUACUGGUCGGCUAGAGUACAGGAGGGGUCAACGGAAUUUCUAGUGUAGCGGUGAAAUGCGUAGAUAUUAGGAAGAACACCGGAGGCGAAGGCGGUUUACUGGACUGCAACUGACACUGAGGCUCGAAAGCGUGGGGAGCAAACAGGAUUAGAUACCCUAGUAGUC